GACGAACGCUGGCGGCGUGCUUAACACAUGCAAGUCGAACGGAAAGGCCCUGCUUUUGUGGGGUGCUCGAGUGGCGAACGGGUGAGUAACACGUGAGUAACCUGCCCUUGACUUUGGGAUAACUUCAGGAAACUGGGGCUAAUACCGGAUAGGAGCUCCUGCUGCAUGGUGGGGGUUGGAAAGUUUCGGCGGUUGGGGAUGGACUCGCGGCUUAUCAGCUUGUUGGUGGGGUAGUGGCUUACCAAGGCUUUGACGGGUAGCCGGCCUGAGAGGGUGACCGGCCACAUUGGGACUGAGAUACGGCCCAGACUCGUACGGGAGGCAGCGGUGGGGAAUAUUGCACAAUGGGCGGAAGCCUGAUGCAGCGACGCCGCGUGCGGGAUGACGGCCUUCGGGUUGUAAACCGCUUUCGCCUGUGACGAAGCGUGAGUGACGGUAAUGGGUAAAGAAGCACCGGCUAACUACGUG
rnacentral:rRNA from 1 species